rnacentral:lncRNA from 1 species
GAAGCAAGUCAGUAAGCAGUGUCUUCCCCCAUGAUCUCUGCAUCAGCCCUUGCCUCCUGGUUCCAGCUCUGUUGGAGUUCCUGUCCUGACUUCCUUCGGUGGUGAACAUCAACAUGGAAGUAAGCAAAUGUCUGGGACAGCCCUACUGAACAGUGCCCUCUAGUGAGCCUUUGGGUCCCCACCUGGCAUCUGUGGAGGGAAUGACUGGAUGACCACAGAGAGAAGAUAGAGCCCAUGCUCCUCCUCAGAGGACUGCCAAGCUCCUACUGUGUGCAGCUCCAAACAUCCUCCACUGCUGCUAAAAGCUCGACCUUGGCCAAUUGCUUCCCUGGCUGCCUUUGAUGGGCAGCUCCAGCCAUCUCCUGGGCAGCUUGAGUUCCUGUCCCUCUCUGAAACUCUGGGUCCUUCUAGCAAGUGGAAGUGGGACUGACUUCUCCAGAGCCUAAGGUCUUGGAGGAAAGUAAUGUUU